rnacentral:tRNA from 1 species
UCUAAUAUGGCAGAUUCAGUGCAAUAAAUUUAAGAUUUAUAUAUGAGAUUAUUAAUCUUUGUUAGAA